GACGAACGCUGGCGGCGUGCUUAACACAUGCAAGUCGAACGGGAGUAUCGAAGAAGCUUGCUUUAGAGAUACUUUAGUGGCGGACGGGUGAGUAACGCGUGAGGAGCUGUCCUAUGCAGGGGGACAACAGUUGGAAACGACUGCUAAUACCCCAUAAGCCGAGAGGUAAAAGGAUUUAUCCGGCAGAGGAGGUACUCGCGUCCUAUCAGCUAGUAGGUGAGGUAACGGCUCACCUAGGCGAAGACGGGUAGCCGGCCUGAGAGGGCGAACGGCCACACUGGAACUGAGAUACGGUCCAGACUCCUACGGGAGGCAGCAGUGGGGAAUAUUGGGCAAUGGGGGGAACCCUGACCCAGCGACGCCGCGUGGGUGAAGAAAUCCUUCGGGAUGUAAAGCCCUGUUGUAUGGGAAGAGCGGAAGACGGUACCAUACGAGGAAGCCCCGGCAAACUACGUGCCAGCAGCCGCCGUAA
rnacentral:rRNA from 1 species